rnacentral:rRNA from 1 species
UACGAAGGGGGGCUAGCGUUGUUCGGAAUUAUUGGGCGUAAAGGGCUCGUAGGCGGUUUGUCGCGUCGGGAGUGAAAACCCAGGGCUUAACCCUGGGCUGGCUUCCGAUACGGGCAGACUAGAGGUAUGCAGGGGAGAACGGAAUUCCUGGUGUAGCGGUGAAAUGCGCAGAUAUCAGGAGGAACACCGGUGGCGAAGGCGGUUCUCUGGGCAUUACCUGACGCUGAGGAGCGAAAGCGUGGGGAGCAAACAGG